UAAACUCAAAUAUUUUUUAUCUUAGAAUAAAUAUAUCUUAAAAUAAAAAAUCUAAAUAAAUAAAUUUUUGUAAAUUAAUAUCUUUAUAAAUUAAUAAAAUUUGAAAAUUUCAACAUUAUUAAUUUAUAGAGGUUUUACCGUAGUUACAUUAUUAUUAACUGCAUAAAACACCACCAAUAUUCGUUACCAAACACCACCAGUACAGUAUAUUUUCGACUAUCCAUAUAUCAUUGUAUUCUUCUUCUUCUUUUUUUUGUGCACACAUUGGAUUGUAUUCUUCUUUUAAAUUCCGUUUUAUUUAACAACAAUGGAGUCUCCUUUAUGAGUUAAACAGAGAAGCUAAUUAAGGAAUAUAUUUAAAUGAAGUUGAAAACGUGUCAGUUAAACUCGGCUAAAGUAAGAACACUUUCCA
rnacentral:lncRNA from 1 species